rnacentral:rRNA from 1 species
UACAGAGGUGGCAAGCGUUGCUCGGUAUCACUGGGCUUAAAGGGCGCGUAGGCGGUGCGGUACGGUUUCGGUGAAAUCCCUCGGCCCAACCGAGGAACAGCCGGGGCUACGGCCGUGCUAGACGGCAUCAGGGGACAGUGGAACUCCCGGUGGAGCGGUGAAAUGCGUAGAUAUCAGGAGGAACACCGGCGGUGUAGACGGCUUGCUAGACCAUAACUGACGCUGAGGCACGAAAGCGUGGGUAGCAAACAGG